GGAAUACUCAUCCUUCAGGUUAGAUAGAGAGGAAUACUCACCCUUCAGGUUAGAUAGAGAGGAAUACUCAUCCUUCAGGUUAGAUAGAGAGGAAUACUCAUCCUUCAGGUUAGAUAGAGAGGAAUACUCAUCCUUCAGGUUAGAUAGAGAGGAAUACUCAUCCUUCAGGUUAAAUGGAGAGGAAUACUCAUCCUUCAGGUGAGAUAGAGAGGAAUACUCACCCUUCAGGUUAGAUAGAGAUAAGAUGAUGGUUAAAGUUGUAAGAAAGGCUAGGAACUCUGGCUGAAUGGCUCCCUUAAGUUGAGAAUUGUUUUAUAACCAUGUUUAAAUGUGUGUUUUGGAUGACUGUACAAUAAAAAUAAUAUGAAGGUUAUAAUUGGAAUAAUUUUAUUUUUAUUAAGUGUGUGUGCAUAUAACAAAGGAGUAAAUAUAUAUACCAGUAUUUAAGUGAACAAAUCAUAUUUGAAUCAAUGCACUUAUUUGGCAAAUAGCAGUCUCUGAUUUGAAAGAAUGUCCAACUGUUGUUUUCAUUUUG